CGACACCAGAUCAGGUGAGAUUACCCGUUGAGUUUAAGCUUAUAAAUAAGUAGAGGAAAUAAAACAUAGAAUGAUUUCCUUAGUAACAACGAGGGAACUGGGAACAUCCCAGCCUUAGAAUCGUAUGGCUCCAUUAUCCAAAUUGUAGUCUAGAGAAGCGUUCUUAGUGGCGGACCAAGCCAAAGUCCCAUUGAAGGGGGUGCUAGAGUGGGUGAGAUCUUCAUUGUGCCCACACCCUAUGGCACUACAAGGUGCUAUCUACGAGUUUGGUUGUUUGAGAAUGCAGCCCAAAUUGGGUCAUGAAUUCCAUUUAAGGAUAAAUACGAGCGAGAGACCGAUAUUGAACAAAUACCACAAGGAAAAGAUGAAAAGAACUUUGAAAAGACAGUCAAACAUUGCUGAAAUUCUUAGGAAGCAAGCAAUGGUGGUCGGAGAUAUGCCCCAUUUGGGUGUAAAACGGCGAUGAGCCAUUCCACUGACUUACUCAAGGCAUGGACUAGCGUGGAUUGGUGGGAUUCCAAAGCUCAGGAUCUUGAUAUGCUUGUGGAAUGUCGCAUCUGUGAUUAAGGUAGGCAGUGCAUGCCUCUGGCAUUCAUCGGCAUCUGCAUGCUCCGGAUGCUGGCCUGUGGGUUUCUCAUUCGACCCAUCUUAAAUCACAGACCAAGGAGUUUGACAUAUUUGUGACACAACGAGCGAGUAAACCCAUAAGACAUAAGUAAGCUAAUUGGUGGGAUCCCCCUAAGGGCUGCACUACAGAUCGACCUUGAUAUUCUAAGAAGUGUUCGAGUGUGGGUAUAAGAAAGAUUAUAAACUAUGCCUGAGUGGGGAAAAGCUGGAGAAAACUCUGGUGGAGGCCCACAGCAAUACAAUUGGGCAAAUCAUUCUUUUGACUUUGAUAUAGGGUGAAAGACUAAUCGAACCAUUUAGUAGCUGGUUCCAUAUGAAAUUUCCCUCAGGAUAGCCAGAGCUCGCGUGUAAGUUUUAUUGGGUAAAGCCAAUGAUAAAAGGCCUCGGGGGAAGAACGCACGCCCUCGACCUAAUCUCAAACUUUAAAUAGGUAGGACGGUGUGACUGCUUUGUUGAGCCGCACCAUGGAAUUAAGAUCUCCAAUCAGGCUAUUUUUGGUAAGCAAAAAUAGCGAUGCAGGAUGAACCGAAAGCCGAGUUGCAGUCCAAACUGUAUGCUAAUCUAGAUCUUAUAAAGUGUGUAGGUCAAUUAAGAUAGCAGGAUAUUGCUAAUAGAAGUCUAAAUCUAUUAAGGAGUGUGUAACAACCUACUUGCCAAAUCAACUAGCCCCAAAAAUGGAUGGAGCUUAAGCGUACAACCUACACCCUUUCGAUGGGCCAAUUGCCAGGUCCCGAUGAGUAAAAGGGUGUUGCAGUCACUACAUAACCUUGGGUACGAGCCUGGGUAGAGCAACCAUCGUACAGAUCUUAGUGGAAGUUAGAAAUAUUCUAAUAAGAACUUUGAAGGCUAAAGAGGAGAAAGGUUCAUGUGAAUGGCACUUGCACAUGGGUUAGUAGAUCCUAUGGGUCGGGGAAACCCCAACAAAUAGUGAAUUUUGUGCAUACUAUAAAAGGGAAUCGAGUUAAAAUUCCUAAACCAGGACGUGGCGAUCGACGACAACAUUAGGAAUUUUGGAGAUAUUAGUGGGAGCCUCAGAAAGAGUUAGCUUUCCUAUUUAAUAGCCUACGUACCCUGGAAUCGGCUCAGCCUGAGGUAGGGUCCAGUGGCUGGAAGUGCACUGCAUGUCACGUAGUUUCUGGUGCACUCCCGAAGGCCCUUGAAAAUAUGGAGGACCGAAAGCAUCCAUACCCGAUCAUACUCAUUACUGCAUCAAGUCUCUAAAGUGAAUAUCCUCUGGUCGAUGGAAGAUUAUAGGAAUAGGAAGUCAGCAAAAUGGAUCCAUAACUUUGGGAAAAGGAUUAGAUUUAAGAGUUAGGCACGGGGUCCCAAUCCUAAACCCGUCGACUAUCGGUGUACUACUAGAGAUGCUUCCACGGCAAGAGUGGGUCACCGCGUGCCGGCUAGGGGACCAACUGAGAAUGGUUCAUUCAAGGGCCAUCCCCACAUGUCGAACAGCCAACUUAGAACUAGUACUGACAAGGUGAACCAGACUUUUUAAUUAAAAAAAAAUCAUUGCAAUGGUCCCAACGGAUGUUCACGCAUUAUGAUUUUUGCCAAGUUCUCUGAAUGUCAAAGUCAAGAAAUUCAACCUAGAGCAGGUAAUGGCGUGAAUAACUAUGACACUUUUAAGGUUUCCAAAUGCCUCGUCAAUUAAUUAGUGAAGCGCAUGAAUGGAUUAGAAGAUUACCACAGUCCCUAUAAGCUAUCUAGCAAAACGACAUUGCUUGGUUGAACAGCCAGUGGUUCGAGGCUACCAUGUGCUGCAUUAUGACUGAACGCCUCUAAGUCAGAAUCUGAGCUUCAAGCGGCGCAUGCGUUCACUAUCUUCUUGUUGACAAGCAGUAGGGGCCUCGACCCCUCAGGGCACAUGUCGUUUGCUAAGCCAUUGCUGCAAAAGUGUCACGGUGGCCGCCUUGAUGUACAAUUUUUUUUACGUGGCGGGUAGAAUCCUUUGCAGACGACUUAAAUAUGUGAUGGGGUAUUUUAAGAGUAAAGUGGACUUGCUGCCAUGAUCCAUUAAUAUUCAUCCCUUUGUCGGUCCGAUUAGU
rfam:Capsicum annuum cultivar Zunla-1 chromosome 6, whole genome shotgun sequence